rnacentral:piRNA from 1 species
UCCAAUAGGCUUUUGUUACCUGUCCCAA